rnacentral:rRNA from 1 species
UACAGAGGUCCCAAGCGUUGUUCGGAUUCACUGGGCGUAAAGGGUGCGCAGGUGGGUUUGCAAGUUCGAUGUGAAAGCCCCGGGCUUAACCCGGGAAUGGCAUUGGAUACUGCAGAUCUGGAGGAUCGGAGGGGGGGGACUGGAAUUCUUGGUGUAGCAGUGAAAUGCGUAGAUAUCAAGAGGAACACCAGUGGCGAAGGCGAGUCCCUGGACGAUACCUGACACUGAGGCACGAAAGCUAGGGGAGCAAACAGG